AUGGUAACGUCAAGAACCUCAGCUAUUAACCAAAGCCUUUUCUUCCCAAUUGAAAGUGCUUUACAACCCGCAGGCCUUCUUCACACACGCGGUAUUGCUGGAUCAGGGUUGCCCCCAUUGUCCAAUAUUCCCC
rnacentral:rRNA from 1 species